UUAGCUCUAUCCGAGUUCAUCAUGACGAACAACCUAUUCACCUUGGAGAACUGAU
rnacentral:snoRNA from 1 species